rnacentral:sRNA from 1 species
UCUGGGUGCAGUGGCGCACACCUGUAAUCCCAGUGGCUGGGGAGGCUGAGACAGGAGGAUCGAGAGUUCAAAGCCAGCCUCAGCAAUAGCGAGGUACUAAGCAACUCAGUGAGACCCUGUCUCUA